CUUUUUUCCUUCUAGCCCAGAAUUUGGCUCCUUAUUUGGUUAUGGUAAUAGGUUGUAUUCAGAUUUUGAAAGAAAAGAAAGUAGAUCCUGUUAGAAUGGUAGUGCAAAAGAGAUUGUGUAGAUUGAGAAGACGUAAGACAUCAUUCUAUUGAUUCCGAAUUUGUCUCCUAAAAAUAAUAGUAGACUUUAAAAUAGACGAAUGAGAGGAUUCGAGAGGUUGUCAAUGCCAAUUUUAGCAACAUGCUCCUAAAUUUAGUUGAUUUAUUAAAUU